rnacentral:rRNA from 1 species
UACGUAGGGGCCUAGCGUUGUCCGGAUUUAUUGGGCGUAAAGAGCGUGUAGGCGGCCAGGCAGGUCCGCUGUGAAAACUCGAGGCUCAACCUCGAGAGGUCGGUGGAAACCGUCUGGCUAGAGUCCGGAAGAGGAGAGUGGAAUUCCCGGUGUAGCGGUGAAAUGCGCAGAUAUCGGGAAGAACACCCGUGGCGAAGGCGGCUCUCUGGGACGGUACUGACGCUGAGACGCGAAAGCGUGGGGAGCGAACAGG